UGAUCUCGUGUGUUGCAGCAACCAGACUGGAACCAGCUGCCAGCACUGUUCAUGGGAGAGCUGUCCAAGUGCCUCGGCUUGGUCGACAAGCUGCACCUCUGCGAGGCCUUACCUGCGUACAGGGAGAUGGCAGGGAGGUGUGCGACGUGGUGGCGGACCUGUGAGGUUGGGUGCGAUAUUCAGUGCGCUCUCACGGAUUUCGGUGUCCACCGGCUCUUCCUUAAGUUGCGGCGGUAUGCCGCUCCGGUGGCCUCGCUGCUUGCGAUCGGACCACAACGGGGCCUGGUCAGGCCCGCCUUCCGCACCAGGGUGUACAUCCGCACGGUGAGGGUGGAGGGCGAGUCGCGCCUCCUCCUUCGUCUGAGCGUCUGCUCCUACGACAGGCUGGAUGGCCUGGUGAGGCUUUUCGCCACCGACCUAAGGACAGUUCGUGUGGCGCUGAGGGACUGCAUCAUCGACGUCCGUUCGUUCGUUCCAGUCGGCUAAGGUCCUGCAGGUGCUGGACGUCGUUGCGGAUGGUGGAAAAGGCGCUCUGACGGGUGCAUGGCCUAGGGGGCUUGUUCUUGAGCACCUGGUGAGGUUGCGGGUCCGGUUCAACCCGGACUAUGUCGAUGCUUCCGUUCGUCACGUCACCUCAUUCGGUACUCUCGUGGAAGCACACGGAGACCGUCCCCUGCUGAGGGUGAGCGUCCUGCCCCUGGCCCGGUUUCUCUUGGACAUGGUGCUGGAACAGAUGGCCCAGGACUAGAAGUAGAAGAGGUCAGGAAAGCUGUCCUCCUCAUCACGUGCUGUGAUAUU